CCCCCUAUGGGGGUGUUAACAACAUAGGGAGCUCUUCUGCUUCUCACUGAUAAUAUCUGCAGAAAAUAGGAAGAAUACCCAACAAAAGAGUGUUUAAAAUAUAGCAUUCUCUGUGGACAUCAUGAAUAUUAUGCCACAUUUUGUUGCUGGCCAUUGUUGAAGAGGAAAUCAUUUUGAAAAAGUACAUGUGACAGCAAUUGCAAAUGAUAAUUACCUGUCAGUAAGAAUAGAAGACUCCUCAUCCUGGACAGAAACUGUUUCAACUCCUACCCUCAAAAUGACGCUAUAGAGUACUGCACACCAGAACAACUAGACACAAGAAGUUUUUUCCCGAAUGCCAUCAUUCUGGUAUAGGAAUGGUGGUUCAGAGCUAUCUUUUCAAAUGAUGGGCAAAGAAAUAAAAGUAUAUAUCACAGUGAAACCGUCAGACAUGAGCAGGACACCUUUGCAGAUUUGUUGCUGUCAUAUCUACUGCUUGUUUCUUUAAAACAAGAAAAUGGUUUGAGAAAAUCAAUUGAACCCAAGCUGGAAAUCUUUCUUUAAUGCUACUAUAUGACACUAGAAUUUUAUUUUAUCUGCAAGCAACCUAUGAGUCUGUAAGAAGUCGGAUGAACCAAGCGAUCAACCAAUGACAGCGUCGACCACCAGCCAACUAACUUGACCUCCAGCCAGGGUGACUUCAUCACCAGAUGACCCUCACAUGACAUGACCAGUCAGUCACAGAACCAACUGUCCAUACAAGACCUACAGUAUAUAAGCAGAAGAGUACUGAAACAAGACACUUCAGCUGAAGUUCCACUGAUCAUGUUACCUAGCCUGGUGAAGAAACAUUCGGAAACUAAGCAACAAGCUCGGAGAACAAACCACCACCAGCACCUGCCACCUGAGCUACAAAUAUUUUCUACCGUUUCUAACUAGAAUUUUUAUUGUUUUAAGAUUUCUGAUUGAGCAGACUCUAACUGAAUCCAAUUCCUUUUUGAAGAGAUUCAAAGGAAAUUUAUUUUGGGGGUCAGGGGGAGAAUUGAAUCAAAGUUGUAAGGAAUCUAUUUUCAAAAUCAUCCUUUUAGAGCACAGGUGUCAAACUUGCCACAUCACGUUGCUGUCACAUGAUGUUUUGCGAUGUUUUCCCCAUUUGAGGAGCUGGGGUGAGCAUGGCCUGCACGUGACGCAUCCGGCCCGCCAGCUGUCAGUUUCACACCGCUGUUUUAGAGGUUUUGUUUUUUAAUGUUGCAUUCCUACAACUAUUUGGGCUGUUUUCUCCUGGUAUGGUAGUUUCCAAUUAUGAAGAAAAUGAAGAGAUUUAUUAAGCACUGUAAAUGUUGGACCCACCAUCAGGCGAAACAAGAAGCUUGCCUCAAGUGGGAGAGCUGGGAAAUAAUAGCAGUAUAUUGAAGACAGACGCAUGUAUGACACGGCUUGCCUUUUACUGCUUAGCUAAGAAAAUUACAGAUACUCCUUGACUUACAACCAUAAUUGAGCCCAAAAUAUAUGAUGUUAAGUGAGACAUUUGUUAAUGUCUUCUGCCCCAUUUUAUGACUUUUCUUGCCACAGUUGUUAAGUGAAUCAUUAGCAUUAUUAAGUUAGUAACUCCGUUGUUAAGUGAAUCUGGCUUCCCCAUUGACUUUGCUUUUCAGAAGGUCGCAAAAGGGGAGCACAGGACCCCAAGACACUGCAACCAUCAUAAAUAUGAAUCAGUUGCCAAACAUCCAAAUUUUGAUUGUGUGACCAUGGGGAUGCUGCAAUGGUUGUAAGUAUGAAAAAUGGUCAUAAGUCACUUUUUCCAGUGCCAUUGUAAAUUUGAAAUGUCACUAAACAAACUGUUGUAAGUUGAGGACUAUCUGUAUGCUGCUUCAUCACUGUUGUUUAAGUAAUAUUUUUACCAGUCUGGUCAGCUUCAAUAUGCUGUAGGUUGGGAAAGUCUGAUUUUUAGCCAUAGGUGACAAAAUGGCUAGUUCUGUAUAAAAUGGAAAUUCAUGUGAGGUGUGGGGACUCAAUGACAUUUACAACGGUCUAGUUGCAGCACAGUAUCAAACUAUAUAAUUACAGCAACUUUAUUAUACUAGUAUUGUAUUAAUCAGUCCCCACUUUAUACUUAAUUAAUCUUUGUAUAGUACAGUAAUUCAUUUAAUUUUGUCUCUUCCUUUAUUAUUGCAUUUUCCAAUUCAGUCUGCAGUGCUACUAUUCUGCACAUCAAUUUUUAUUUUAUUGUUUUAUGUCCAUAUCCUGGGAAAACUUGUAUAUUUGCUUGCUUCUCACUGUUGUUCUGAAUAUCUGUCAGGGUAAAUUUACUUACAGAUUUAAUUGAUGAGCUGCUUAAUCUUGGAUAAUCUUAGAUAAUUAAUGACAGUGCUUUACAAUGGAACAUUUAUAGAAAAUUGAAAGCUUGCUCUAUUGCUGUUUUGGUUCCAAGUCUAUAAAUUGUAAAACCAAUGAACAUUACAAGAUCAUCAUCAACA